UAAUACGAAGGGGGCUAGCGUUGCUCGGAAUGACUGGGCGUAAAGGGCGCGUAGGCGGAUGACACAGUCAGGCGUGAAAUUCCCGGGCUCAACCUGGGGGCUGCGCUUGAUACAUGUUGUCUUGAGUUCGGAAGAGGGUCGUGGAAUUCCCAGUGUAGAGGUGAAAUUCGUAGAUAUUGGGAAGAACACCGGUGGCGAAGGCGGCGACCUGGUCCGAUACUGACGCUGAGGCGCGAAAGCGUGGGGAGCAAACAGGAUUAGAUACCCUGGUAGUCCACGCCGUAAACGAUGUGUGCUGGAUGUUGGGCAGCUUAGCUGUUCAGUGUCGUAGCUAACGCGAUAAGCACACCGCCUGGGGAGUACGGCCGCAAGGUUG
rnacentral:rRNA from 1 species